CCCUUCUCAGGGUCACACUUGGAGAGUUUCCAGUACUCUACCAAUCAUGAAUACAAGAGGGAGAGUCAAGCAGAAGCAUAUCCUUUCCAUCCCUAGCUUGGGCAGUGGCUAGCAAGUGGAAGGAAAUCUGCUACAAGU